rnacentral:lncRNA from 1 species
GACAAACACCAAAUGUAGCACAGGAGCUUUUGGCAAUUAAGUUACAAAGGUCAUCAAUCGACAGAAAUUCCAUGGGUCUUGGAUCUAUAUAUCAUUCUCAAUACAUAAAGUUUAAGACUCCCUACAAUCAUUCUCAAUACAUAAAGUUUAAGACUCCCUACAAUCAAUUUCACUCCUACUCUCCACUGUUAAUGCAUGAAGCUGUCAGAAAAGUACCUUGACCCAUGAUAAAAUAACACUAAAAUUUACUAAACUGUAAUUACACAUAAUCUUCUAAAUCUAGGUAAAGUCAUAUGAAAUUUUGAAAGUAGUCCAGCAUUGACAUACAAUCUAAAGAGUCAUAAACGAUAAACAUUGACUGAAAGAGCCUCGUUGAUUUCAAUUGGGUUGAGGAGCGGCUCCAUUCGUCAGUGAGGUUUAUUUAGAUUUGGUAUUUUGGUUCUUG